GGGUCGUUAGCUCAAUUUGGUAGAGCAUCCGGCUCUUAACCGGAGGGUUGUAGGUUCGAGUCCUACACGACCCACCA
rnacentral:tRNA from 1 species